AUGAAGGCAAGGGGAGAGACUACAUUUGUAGCGCCGAAGGAGCAAGCAAUAUUUAUUGUGAAUCUCUCAGGCAAAAGAACCCUUGUUGGACG
rnacentral:ncRNA from 2 species